rnacentral:rRNA from 1 species
CCGGCGCACGGGUGAGUAACGCGUAUGUAAUCUACCUGUAACAGAGGGAUAACCCGGAGAAAUCCGGACUAAUACCUCAUAGCACAUAUUAUUCGCAUGAAUUUUAUGUUAAAGAGACUCGGUUACAGAUGAACAUGCGUUCCAUUAGCUAGUUGGCGGGGUUACGGCCCACCAAGGCGACGAUCGGUAGCCGGACUGAGAGGUUGAACGGCCACAUUGGGACUGAGACACGGCCCAG